GGUAAUAAAGAAUAGAACAGAUAACGGAUUUGUUUCACGACAACGCUGGGAUACUGAAUAUAAUAUCUUUUAACUGGUAUCAGCACAAGAUAUAGCGAAUUAUAAAACCAAAUAUCCACGGAAGACAAAGGAUUGGUGCGUCUGAAUGGACUCGAACCAUCGACCCCCACCA
rnacentral:antisense_RNA from 1 species